rnacentral:rRNA from 1 species
UACGUAGGGUGCAAGCGUUGUCCGGAAUUAUUGGGCGUAAAGCGCGCGUAGGCGGCUAGAUCAGUCUGCUGUAAAAGUCAAAGGCUCAACCUUUGAAAGCCGGUGGAUACUGUCUAGCUAGAGUCCGGAAGAGGCGAGUGGAAUUCCUGGUGUAGCGGUGGAAUGCGCAGAUAUCAGGAGGAACACCAACGGCGAAGGCAGCUCGCUGGGACGGUACUGACGCUAAGGCGCGAAAGCGUGGGGAGCGAACAGG